rnacentral:sRNA from 1 species
AAAAAGAAGAAAAGAACUAUAAAC